rnacentral:rRNA from 1 species
UACGGGGGGGGCGAGCGUUGUUCGGAAUUACUGGGCGUAAAGGGCGCGUAGGUGGCGGCAUAAGGCUGUGGUGAAAGUCCGGGGCUCAACUCCGGAUCGGCCGUGGCAACUGUGUCGCUAGGGCACCGUAGAGGCAGAUGGAAUUCCCGGUGUAGCGGUGAAAUGCGUAGAUAUCAGGAGAACACCGGUGGCGAAGGCGGCUCUC